ensembl:lncRNA
AUGCCUAAACUCUUCCUUUUUAACUCUGUAGCCUUAGCAGAUGGCUUUAAAACACUUGCCAAAUUAAAAAAUGGAAGGAUCGGUGUUGAGGAUUUACAAAUAAUUAUGAAGAGCUUCAACAUGAUCUUGUCCUCCAAAGAUUUAUCAGAGGCUUUGGCCUUUUGUAGUGUUGAUGACGACAAGACAGUAGAUCUGAAGGACUUUCUCAGGGGGGUGACUUAUACUGGUACUUUUAUUACUAAUCCAGGUAAGUGAACAGAUCUCUCUCAAAAUGGCUUGGGUGACGCAUAGCUACAAGAUUCUGAGCUAAUGAGUGUUUUCUUUCUACAAAAGAUAAAAAGAAAUAUCUACCCCAAUUUCUGGAGUGCUGUAUGUUGCACUGGGAAAAGGUUUAGAGAGGGUGAUGUGACAGGAGAGGACACAGGCAAAGUGAACUGUGAAUUAUAAUGGAGCAUAGCCCAGCUAGGCCCCUUCUCCAAUUUUGCCCCCCUAGAACUUGUACAAUCAGAAUUUUUGAGAUCGGCCCUGCAAGUACAAAAAUGAGUCUCCAAUACCAUUCUGCAAUUGGAGACAGCCUUCAUGAAAGUGGAGGCCAGAGUGUGGGUGGUCAUACUGAACUACUGGCCACUGCGAUCCCCCUGUUCUUGCCCCACUAACCAUGAAGGAUGAUUUCCAGUCCACAUAGAAACAACUGAGCAUGUGCUCUUCCAGUGCCUGUUCUACAGGGACAUUCGAUCCAGGCUCAUCCUGACUUUGCUAUAUAAUUACCCAGGCCGUUCAGGACAAUUGUACACCAACCUGCUUCUCUCAGAUACCAACCCAGUUAUAACCUACAAUGCUGCCAAGUUUUAAAAUCACUUAAAAUCCGCCGAGUGAUGACUGGAUCCAAAAGUUAACAAUCUAAGUAUCAGCUAACUGAAAUGCAAAUCAGUUCUUCACACCCAAGUCCCCUAGACUUGUGUCCUGAAUGCUCCUACCCUCCCAUCAAUCUCCCUCCCUCUCCAUCCCUUUUUAGACCUCUACCUUCUCUCAAUAGUCUUGAGUUUUAGCCCUCAACAUACCUUUGUUUUUUUAUAGUUUUAGAUUUUAAUAUACAAUGCUUUUAUGAGACUGUACCCCACUUAUUCUGGUCUAUGACCGUAAUAAUGAUUUUGAUUUUGAUUUGAUUUGAUAAGGGGGCAUGUAAUCCCACACAUCUGAAUACCACCUGGUUAGGGAAAGCUGCAUUAAGUUAUUCUACUGUAUCUUGAUGACCUUGGAGACUGUGUUUUGACAGAACUACAGCUGACAUGUAUAGCUCUGAGCAAACUCCAAGGGGACCAGUUAGACCUCUAUGCUCUUGAGUCUACCCUGAGCAGCAUGGAUCUUCCAGAGGCGAAUGAGUUACUGCAGGAAGUGAUGAAGACAGCCCAGGUUGAUGGUAAGCCUUCCAAAUGGCACAUGAGAUUUCCCUCAGACAUUAAGAAAUAGUUUGCUGUAUUCUUCAGAGUUUGGAAAUCUUGGUUGUUUGACCACAACUCCCAGAGUCCAAAUAAGAUUUUUUCCCCCAACCUCUUCUGGUCCUAUCUGAUCUAUAUUUU